GCCGGCGAUGGGGCAACCUGGUUGCCCUGCCACACUGACCCUGUGGUGUCCUAACGGACUUGCGGGUUCAAAUCCCGCCGCCGGCG
rnacentral:tRNA from 1 species